UGACUUUGAUUGGACUUAGACUUAGACUUCUUGGUCUGACCCCCAGCAUGCUGCAUCUUUUUAUUUUUAUUUUUCUUCUUCCCUUUCUUAAAGGGAUGACACCCCACCUAGGAUCCUCCCACUACAUCCACCAUCUCCUUGUGGAGCUGGUGAUCAUUCUCAAAAGUCUGUAGUAAUUUCAGUAAACUGUGAUAAUUGACUACAGGCUUCAUCAUUCAUAAUGACUAAGAAAUGAUAGAUAGGACUUUGGCAGAGAGUUCAGAAUCACAUCUUUCUCAAGCUG
rnacentral:lncRNA from 1 species